rnacentral:rRNA from 1 species
CGUGUAGGCGGCCAUGUAGGUCCGGUGUGAAAACUCGAGGCUUAACCUCGAGAUGUCAUCGGAAACCAUUUGGCUAGAGUCCGGAAGAGGAGAGUGGAAUUCCUGGUGUAGCGGUGAAAUGCGCAGAUAUCAGGAAGAACGCCAAUGGCGAAAGCAGCUCUCUGGGACGGUACUGACGCUGAGACGCGAAGCGUGGGAGCGAACA